rnacentral:rRNA from 1 species
CUUGACAUCCAGCGAACUUUCCAGAGAUGGAUUGGUGCCUUCGGGAACGCUGAGACAGGUGCUGCAUGGCUGUCGACAGCUCGUGUUGUGAAAUGUUGGGUUAAGUCCCGNAACGAGCGCAACCCUUAUCCUUUGUUGCCAGCGAUUCGGUCGGGAACUCAAAGGAGACUGCCGGUGAUAAACCGGAGGAAGGUGGGGAUGACGUCAAGUCAUCAUGGCCCUUACGAGUAGGGCUACACACGUGCUACAAUGGCGCAUACAAAGAGAAGCGACCUCGCGAGAGCAAGCGGACCUCAUAAAGUGCGUCGUAGUCCGGAUCGGAGUCUGCAACUCGACUCCGUGAAGUCGGAAUCGCUAGUAAUCGUGGAUCAGAAUGCCACGGUGAAUACGUUCCCGGGCCUUGUACACACCGCCCGUCACACCAUGGGAGUGGGUUGCAAAAGAAGUAGGUAGCUUAACCUCCGGGAGGGCGCUUACCACUUUGUGAUUCAUGACUGGGGUGAAGUCGUAACAAGGUAGGCGUAGUGCU